GGGCGGUUAGCUCAGUUGGUUAGAGCAUUCGGCUUACAUCCGAAAGGUCAGAGGUUCGAGCCCUCUACCGCCCACCA
rnacentral:tRNA from 2 species